rnacentral:rRNA from 1 species
GACAAGUCGGAGGAAGGUGGGGAGUGACGUCAAAUCAUCAUGCCCCUUAUGACCUGGGCUACACACGUGCUACAAUGGGCGGUACAAAGGGUUGCGAACCGCGAGGGGAGCGAAUCCCAAAAAAGCCCGCUCUCAGUUCGGAUUGCAGGCUGCAACUCGCCUGCAUGAAGCCGGAAUCGCUAGUAAUCGCGGAUCAGCAUGCCGCGGUGAAUACGUUCCCGGGCCUU